GCAGGAACCUGGAAAACAUCCAAGCGGACAAAACCCCCGGCUUCAUCCCGGAGGUGCUGAAGCUGCUGCGGGUCUGCGCGAGCAAGCUGAAGAGCGUCAGGGAGGAUGAGCGGAGCGGGAUGCAGCUGGAGAGCGGGAUGCUCUACGCCCUGCAUCUCUGCGAGUGCCUCUUCGACCCCUACCAGACCUGGCGGCGGCAGCUGAGCGGGGAAGUCAUCAGCGCGAAGGAGAAGAGUAAAUACAAGUUCGCCCCGGCCCCUUUGCCCCCCGAGUUCGGUGCCUUUUUCCAAG